ACAAAGGCUCCUCUUGGAGCCAUCACACAGUUGAGGCUCCUCUCUC
rfam:Picoides pubescens contig83925, whole genome shotgun sequence.